rnacentral:lncRNA from 10 species
UCAAUGGUUCCCCAUUGCACAGUGAAGAACUCUCUCACUUUACUACAGUUUACAUUGUUUGAUUUUCUAUUUUUGCCCUAUACACCUAAAAAUCCAACCUGCCUGUUUUUCUCAAGCAUGCCUUGUUCCCUGCUACAAGUAAAAGGGAGCAGCAGAUUUCAUGUAAUUCUCUCUAGCACUAACCCUGGGCUGUGCACGACAUAGAGGGACACGUGUCGACUCAGCUCUGGGAGAUCCCCAGUCUCUCAGACAUCUUAACCAUGUUCCCUCAGUAUUACCUCCUACUACUACUGCCAGGUUUCCAUGAAUUCCUUCUUCCCACAGGGUGAUCCAAUAGAAAGAAUGUGG